AAUCCAAUAGAAAGCAGAGACUAAAUGAUAGAUGUAAAU
rnacentral:guide_RNA from 1 species